GACGAACGCUGGCGGCGUGCCUAAUACAUGCAAGUCGAACGCAGUUUCGAACGGGUGAGUAACGUGUAGGUUACUGCCUCAUCGUGCGUGUUAACUAUUGGAAACGAUAGCUAAUACCGCAUACUGUGGGAUGGACCUGCGGUGUAUUAGCUGGUUGGUGAGGUAAAGGCGCACCAAGGCGACGAUAGAUAGCCGACCUGAGAGGGUGGUCGGCGACACUGGGACUGUGAGAAGGCCGAGACGCCUAAGGUAGGCAGCAGGAGGGAAUCUUCGGCAAUGGACGGAAGUCUGAACGAGCAACGCCGCGGGAGUGAAGAAGGGUUUGGGAGCGUAAAGCUCUGUUGUUAGAGAAGCGGUAACUAACCAGAAAGGGACGGCUAACUACGUGCCAGCCGCCGCGGUAAUUC
rnacentral:rRNA from 1 species